UUUUACAUGUGUAUCUAAGUACACAGUGUAACUACAGAUGAGUUACAAGCAGGGCUAAAAAGCUAAGCAGAGCUGAGCUUGGUCAGUACCUGGAUGGAAAACCACAUGAGAAAACUAGGUUGCUGUUGGAA
rnacentral:rRNA from 1 species